rnacentral:rRNA from 1 species
AGCAUAUCAAUAAGCGGAGGAAAAGAAACCAACAGGGAUUGCCCUAGUAACGGCGAGUGAAGCGGCAACAGCUCAAAUUUGAAAUCUGGCCCUCGGGUCCGAGUUGUAAUUUGUAGAGGAUGCUUUUGGUGCGGUGCCUUCCGAGUUCCCUGGAACGGGACGCCAUAGAGGGUGAGAGCCCCGUCUGGUUGGACACCAAUCCUCUGUAAAGCUCCUUCGACGAGUCGAGUAGUUUGGGAAUGCUGCUCUAAAUGGGAGGUAUAUGUCUUCUAAAGCUAAAUAUUGGCCAGAGACCGAUAGCGCACAAGUAGAGUGAUCGAAAGAUGAAAAGCACUUUGAAAAGAGAGUUAAACAGUACGUGAAAUUGUUGAAAGGGAAGCGCUUAUGACCAGACUUGGGCUUGGUAGAUCAACCUGGGUUCUCCCUGGUGCACUCUUCCUCGUCCAGGCCAGCAUCAGUUCGCUGCGGGGGAUAAAGGCUUCGGGAAUGUGGCUCCCUCGGGAGUGUUAUAGCCCGUUGCGUAAUACCCUGCGGUGGACUGAGGUUCGCGUUCUGCAAGGAUGCUGGCGUAAUGGUCAUCAGCGACCCGUCUUGAAACACGGACCAAGGAGUCGUCUUCGUAUGCGAGUGUUCGGGUGUUAAACCCCUACGCGUAAUGAAAGUGAACGCAGGUGAGAGCUUCGGCGCAUCAUCGACCGAUCCUGAUGUUCUCGGAUGGAUUUGAGUAAGAGCAUACGGGGCCGGACCCGAAAGAAGGUGAACUAUGCCUGUAUAGGGUGAAGCCAGAGGAAACUCUGGUGGAGGCUCGCAGCGGUUCUGACGUGCAAAUCGAUCGUCAAAUAUGGGCAUGGGGGCGAAAGACUAAUCGAACCUUCUAGUAGCUGGUUUCCGCC